GACGGGGGGGGGCAAGUGUUCUUCGGACUGCCUGGGCGUAAGGGGCCCGUGGGCGGUGAAUCGGGUUGAAAGUGAAAGUCGCCAAAAAGUGGCGGAAUGCUCUCGAAACCAAUUCACUUGAGUGAGACAGAGGAGAGUGGAAUUUCGUGUGUAGGGGUGAAAUCCGUAGAUCUACGAAGGAACGCCAAAAGCGAAGGCAGCUCUCUGGGUCACUACCGACGCUGGGGUGCGAAAGCAUGGGGAGCGAACAGG
rnacentral:rRNA from 1 species